rnacentral:rRNA from 1 species
CUGCUGCCUCCCGUAGGAGUUUGGUCCGUGUCUCAGUACCAAUGUGGGGGGUUAACCUCUCAGUCCCCCUAUGUAUCGUCGCCUUGGUGAGCCGUUACCUCACCAACCAGCUAAUACAACGCAUGCCCAUCAUCAACCACCGGAGUUUUCAACCCCAUGCGAUGCCGCACUGAGAUAUUAUGGGGUAUUAGUACCAAUUUCUCAGUGUUAUCCCCUGUUCGAUGGUAGGUUGCAUACGCGUUACGCACCCGUGCGCCCGG